AAUCUUAAGAACACGGCGUAAAUGGGUGAUCAUGGAGGCCCAUGGUCUAGGUUAGUGAUCUCCAUUGCAAUUGGGAGUGGUGCUAACUUAAGCACUUUUCAAAUGAGGAGAGACUACGUGACAUACUUUGGUAGUGGGGUGUGCGUUCGCGUUGCCCCUUA